CCUACGGGAGGCAGCAGUGAGGAAUAUUGGUCAAUGGGCGGAAGCCUGAACCAGCCAAGUCGCGUGAGGGAUGAAGGCCCUGCGGGUCGUAAACCUCUUUUGCCGGGGAGCAGAGGUCCGGACGUGUCCGGGCCGGGAGAGGACCCGGAGAAAAAGCAUAGGCUAACUCCGGGCCAGCAGCCGCGGUAAUACGGCGGAUGCGAGCGUUAUCCGGAGUUAUUGGGGUUAACGGGUGCGUAGGGGGGCCUUUCAGCCGGCGGUCAAACGUCGGGGCUCAACCCCGGCCUGCCGUCGGAACGGGGUGCCUUGAGUGGGCGUGACGUAUGCGGACUGCGUGGUGUAGCGGUGACAUGCCUAGCUCUCACGC
rnacentral:rRNA from 1 species